UGUCAUUUCUUAGUGGAUCCAUAUCCUUAUCAGGGUCCUCUUCAAUAUAAAUAUUUUUAGUUUUCUUAUCUUAAAAAACAAUUUUGAUAACUAUUAAUAAACAGUUAUAGAAGUAUAUUUACAAGUGAUGGACCACAUUAAAACUCCGAAGAUUGAAAAUGUUCGUAUGCUAGACAGAUACUCCAAAACACCCUCUCAUGGGACUUUAUAUGUUACCGCCACUCAUUUAAUUUUCGUGGACCCAGAUGCAAAGAAAGAGACCUGGAUUCAUCAUAUGCAUAUUGCAAGUCUAGAAAAACUCCCACUUUCCACAACUGGUUCUCCUCUUCUAAUACGAACAAAAACCUUCUUGUCUGUGACCUUUGUGAUACCCAAAGAAAGAGAUUGUCACAGCGUUUACGUCACCCUACAACAACUGUCACAACCGGCGAAAGUCGAUCAGUUGUAUUGUUUUUCAUAUACACCUCCUAUAGAAGAAAUCCAGAGACCCGUGGGGUGGAGUUUUCAUGAUCUGCAAUCUGAAUACCAAAGAAUGGGAGUGCCAAAUGAGCAAUGGUGUUUGACAAAUUUGAACAAAGGUUAUGAAUUAUGUGAUACUUACCCUCAACUUUUAUACGUACCGAGCAAAGCAACCAGUAACAUACUGACGGGUAGCUCAAGGUUUCGCUCAAAAGGAAGGUUGCCGGUUCUUUCGUUUUUGUAUAAGAACAAAGCAAGUAUCAGUAGGUGUAGUCAGCCGUUAUCGGGAUUCAGCGCAAGAUGUUUGGAGGAUGAAAAGAUGAUGAAUCACAUUCUGAAGACGAAUCCUAAUGCUACCUACAUGUAUGUUGUGGAUACACGACCAAAGAUUAAUGCCAUGGCGAAUAGAGCUGCAGGUAAAGGCUAUGAAAACGAAGCCUUUUAUGAAAAUAUAAAAUUUCACUUUUUGGGAAUUGAGAAUAUACAUGUUAUGAGGAACAGUCUCUCUAAGGUUGUUGAAACUUGCGAACAAAGAAAUCCCACAAUGGCGAGCUUCCUUAGCGGUCUCGAAUCCAGUGGUUGGUUAAGACAUAUUAAAUCCAUAUUGGAUACGUCUUUGUUUAUAGCUGAGGCUCUUCUGGAAGGUAUAAGCGUUUUAGUACAUUGCUCAGAUGGAUGGGAUAGGACGGCUCAAGUUUGUUCGCUUGCCACAGUUUUAUUGGAUCCAUUUUAUAGAACAAUUUCUGGUUAUCAGACUUUGAUCGAAAAAGACUGGUUAGCUUUUGGUCACAAGUUUUCCGAGAGGUGUGGUCACAUUCAGACGGAAAACAAAGAGAUAUCACCGAUUUUUACGCAACUCUUGGACGCCACGUGGCAGUUGAUGCAACAGUUUCCCAUGUCUUUUCAAUUUAACGAGACAUUUCUGUUUACGUUGCACGAUCACGUGCACUCUUGCCAAUUUGGAACUUUCGUUGGAAAUUGUCAAAAAGAUAGACUGGAAUGGAGGUUGUCUGAGAGAACGUUUUCACUUUGGGGAUAUAUGGCCAAUCAUCUGAACGAAUACAUAAAUCCUUUAUACAGUACCGAAGAAAGUCCGGAAAUACUUUUGCCAAAUUUAAUACCUCAAAAUAUCAAAUUUUGGAGAAGUAUGUACUGUAGAUUUGAAAGCGGUGUACAUCCUAGAGAACCUCAAGCAGAUUUGCUGUUAGUUACAUCCGAUUAUGUAUUUUCCCUAGAUGAGCAUGUUAAAUUUUUAACUAAGAAACUAUCAUCUGUAAAAUCCCUUAUAACUCGCAACGUCGAAAAGAAGAAGAACAAACCGAAACGAGAUCAACUUUGCAAUAACGUUUACUUGGAUAACAAAACUCAAUACGAAAAAAAAGCUUCCAGGGAAAUGGAAAAUGCCGAACAAGAUCAUCCGCUAAAGAAUCAACAUAAGGUAACAGAAGAACUUUUGGAUAUGGAUCUUCUAGCCAAAGAAGUAGACUCUGUAGCGGUUGAUUGGAAACCAUUGAGAAACGCCACAGAGUGUAGCUGUUCGCUGACGCUAGAUCAAAUUAGUAAAAAGAUGCACUGUCGGAAAUGUGGAGACGUGUUCUGCCAGCGUUGCAUAACCAAAAAAGUCGCUCUUCCCGGACAUUUGUCGCAGACGCCAGUACCUGUUUGUAAACCUUGCUUUGAUACAGUCACAUCACCAGCACACACUUAGCAUAUAGACUACUAAUGCAGAUGAGAAGAAGAAUUGUGAUUUAGUUGUUGGUAUUUAGAUUGCAUGUUAGUUUCACUUUCGAGAAGACAUUACAUUUCUCUCUUUACAGCUGAAGUAAAAAUAUAUUUAUAUAUAAAUAAUAAUUUCGUUGUAAAACGAAACAAGAGCCGUCUUAUAUUUCAGUUUGUUCAGAGAGCGUCAACAGCACCCUAACCGGUUUCAAACCCUAUUAGGUUAUCACCAGAGAGUGCAUAUUUGAUUAUCUCUGCACAAACUAAAAUUUGGGUUGUCAGUAUCGCUUCACAACGAAAUAACAUGAUGGUGUGUUGAUUAAAUAGAUUUAACGUGAGCAGAGCAGAUGCUUUUUAGAGCUGUGAAGUGUGCGCAAUGUAAUGAUUUCUUUGCUACUCAAACAGGGAAUAUUUAUUAAAUGUAUAAUCUUAACGACUAGUAUCUAUUUACACGUAACUGAAAUGUCAGUAUUUUUUAUUCGGGUAUUUAAACAUUUUUGUUGCAAAAUAUUUUGUAUAGAACUUUAACGAGAUUGUCGACGACAUGUGUAACAGUUUUUCAAAUUGUCUUACUUUGCUUAGAUAUUUAUUUGUUUUUUAUUAAUGUAUAUAUUUCAGGCAAAUAAUAAACAACAGACUUUGGGCCACUUAGGAGUGGAAAAUAAAAAAACCGUGGGAAAAAUGGCAUUUUUAGAUGUACCUCCAGGCGGACAGUUGGGCAGGUGAGAUAGGUGGGCAGGUAUGACAGAUGGUAUCUGUCAAUUUGUCUUCUUUUCAUUUGUCUCGUCAAAACGUAAUCCAUCAAGCGCCAAAAUUGUCACACGCACAUCCAUCAAACGUCAACUGCCAACCGUCAAGUCAUUCUUUUAUUAUGUCCAAAACAGCUAAAGACAAAAGUAUCAUUUUGUUUUAUUAUAAAACUAUAAUUAUUGUUUUAUCAAUAGUUCGUUUCUAAAUCCUAUCUAUCCAGUUUCAGCUCAUAAUUUUUUCUAUAUUCGCACGUGGAUUUUUAGAUAUGGUAACUGCUAUUGAAUAGUUCCAUAAAUAUUUCUAACUAUGAUUUUUAAUGAGUUUAAUUAUUUUUGUGGAUAAUACACGUGGACUUACACUCUAGACUUCUUUUGUUUGAUUUUGUGGUCCAUAUCCUCUCUUAAAAUUUUCGGCAUGUUACAGUGUCCAUAUAUUCGUUGUGUUUCGUCCACGAAUGUGUUGUAUCUAUUUUGAGUUUAAUUAUUUUUGUGGAUAAUACAUCUGGACUUACACUCCAGCCUUCUUUUGUUUGAUUUUGUGGUCCAUAUCCUCUCUUAAAAUUUUCGGCAUGUUACAGUGUCCUUAUAUUCGUUGUGCUUCGUCCACGAAUGUGUUGUAUCUAUUGCUUCUUCCUUUUAUGUAGAAAUGACUCCUUUUUUUAAUGUGCCUCCAGUAAUUUGUCGUUCCAUCGCUUUCGAGGUCUUCCUACUGAUCGUCUUCCUAUUGAGGUACCGUCUAUUGCCGCCUUUAUAACUCCAUUUUUUGUCAUUCGGUUUAUACGAUCGUUUCAUUCUAAUCUUCUAUUUCUUACCUAGUCCUUGUUCUCCACCUUGUAUCUCCGUUUUCUAUCUGUACUUCUAGCUCUGUCCCAUAGUCUUACCUUCGAUUUUUCUAAGGGUUUCUAUCUCUGGUGUUUUUAGCAUUCUUUUUAUCCUCUUUGUGUCAGGUGGUGUUUCUGCCGUAUUAUUGGUCUGAUGACUAUUUUGUAAAUUCUGCCUUUCAUUUCUUUUCCGAUAUUUUUACUUCUCCAUAUUACUUUGGCAACUUGCGGCUCCGUUUCCUCUAUUUUGAUCUUCCACUUCUGUUUCGAGUUUUCCGUAGCUAGAUAGCGUGGUGCCUAGAUAUUUAUACUUCAUCACUUGUUCUAUUACCUGACCCUCCAUCUCCCUGUCUUUUCUUUAUCGUCAUUAUUUGAUGAACCCGAUGUAUAAAAUUGAUAUGCUUAUUUUAUAAUUUUACUUGUCUCGAACUGAAAUAAAUAAAUAAUGAAAGAAAAUAUAGACAGAUUAAACAGCUGUUUAAGUAUGCGAUAUACGUUUGAUUAUUCCCUGCUAUUAUGCACUUUUUAAAAAUGUCUAAUACAUGAUCUAUGUUUAA
rnacentral:misc_RNA from 1 species